CACACUUCCAGUUGCACGCUUCAGUCUCAUCGCUCAGAGAACUGCACCCGGUGAUUGAACUACCAGUUUCUGAAGGCCACCCAUUCACACCUAUUUCCCACUACUCCAGGAUGGAGUGCAGUGGUGCAAUCAGAGCUCACCGCAGCCUCCACCUCACCAGAUGACCCUUCUUCC